GAGUCAGCCAGGACUGAUCAUCCACAGCUCUUCUGCUGCUUAAUGCUGACCUUGGGAGAGAAGUAGUGCAGAUGUACGGAAAGUUCACAUCUGUUUGUGAGCUUGGGUGUUUCCAGCAGGCAGAAAAAAGCUAUGUAGGCAGUUCCUUCUGUCCUUCCUGAAGAGGGCUCCAAGUCAGGAAGAACUGAACAACCACAUUUUAAAAUGUUUCAGCCUGAGGAUGGCCUGGGAUGCUGUGUCCUUCUCCAGGGUCACACAAAGCAGGCAUGCCCUUUCCAAAAAACCUACGUCAUAUUCAUAGAUUUUGAAUCUGCAAGUUCCUGAAGCUUCAGCAGAAGUCAACAGGUGUCCAGAGCACUGGAAAAUGGUCUGCAGAGAGUCCACAGUUUGCAGGACCAGGCUGCAUCCCUCUCUGUAUGAGAACCCCUCCCGCUUUUCCUGCCUUCUGAGCUGUUCAUCACCUGACAUCGACUUCUCCUGUCAUUAUUCUCGUACUCUCCAUGACAUUUCAUAGCUAAGAACAAACGCCUCCGGAAAGCUUUGGGAUUUGGGAAGAGCAGGAGGGUUCAGCAUAAGGGAGGAGGUAAUACCCUUUCACCUAAUCUGUUUAUAACAAAAUCUUCUUUAUUAGGCAACAGUAUGUUUUUAAAAAAAGAGAACCGAACUCACUGC